UACGUAUGGUGCGAGCGUUGUCCGGAAUUAUUGGGCGUAAAGAGCUUGUAGGCGGUUUGUCGCGUCUGCUGUGAAAAUCCGGGGCUCAACCCCGGACUUGCAGUGGGUACGGGCAGACUAGAGUGUGGUAGGGGAGAACGGAAUUCCCGGUGUAGCGGUGAAAUGCGUAGAGAUCGGGAGGAACACCAGAGGCGAAGGCGGCGACCUGGACAAGUACUGACACUCAACUACGAAAGCGUGGGGAGCAAACAGG
rnacentral:rRNA from 1 species